rnacentral:tmRNA from 1 species
GGGGAUGUCAAGGUUUCGACAGGUAGAGAGGAGCGUAAACGCAGCGUUGUGGUACAACUAAAACACCUAAGCACGAUAAAUGCCAAAAAGAAUUUUAUCCCUUUCGCGAAGACCAAUAUGAUGGCCUGCGCUGCUUGCUAGUUUAGUUGAGUAGUUAGGAGUAUUACCUCCCGCGAAGUCUUCUAAAACCUCGCUAUUCUAUUCGGAGUUUAGGAGGCUUAAAAAAGAAUAGAUAGCUGUUAUCUCGCCGUGAUUUGACAGCGAAACUGAAGCGGCAAAUUCAACCUAUUUCUCCCGUUUAUCAAGAGGGGUUGAAUUAAAUUGGUAAACUAAGCUGUAGUGGUUAUUGCGGAGCUCUAUUUGGACAGGAGUUCGAUUCUCCUCAUCUCCAU